rnacentral:rRNA from 1 species
GAUCCUGGCUCAGGGCGAACGCUGGCGGCGUGCUUAACACAUGCAAGUCGAACGAAGAGCGAUGGAAGCUUGCUUCUAUCAAUCUUAGUGGCGAACGGGUGAGUAACGCGUAAUCAACCUGCCCUUCAGAGGGGGACGAAUAGUUGGUAAACGACUGCUAAUACCGCAUACGAUCCAACCUCGGCAUCGAGGAUGGAUGAAAGGUGGCCUCUAUUUAUAAGCUAUCACUGAAGGAGGGGGAUUG